GAUAGCUCAGUUGGUUAGAGCAUGGUGCUGAUAAUGCCAUGGUUGCAGGUUUGAUUCCCUGCAUGGAACA